AUAUGUAUAUGUCUGGGUACGCGCAGGAAUAUCUGUUCCCAUACGCAGAACUCGGCAAAUCUAUCCAUGAAAAUACAGAAGUAGAAUUUAAUUCUUCAGAUCCACAUAAUUAUUCAACCAAAAAAAAAAAAAAAAACCACACAAAAAAUAGCAUUUUUACAAAUGAAUCAAUCAGAUUCCAAAAACAAUCUUCAUCAAUUGAUUCAAUUCUGCGACCUGAUGACUUGGGGAAUCUCCAUCUUCAUUUUCAAUAAUCCCUUCAAUAAAAACAGAAGGGACCGGUAUAUCUAACAUUAUUCAACAUAUCAACCUCAACUUCUAGUUCUACUACUAGUACAAGGCUUGGCGAUCAAGGUAGGUUGCUCAUCUCCGGCCAAGAUCACAACUAUUUCUGGUGCUACGGCAGCUGGUAUGUCUACGCUGUCCAUGGAUUUCUCUUCCUUUUCUCUCGAAACCUCCUGUGCUGACACACGGUAGUAGCAAGCGAGGAAGAGCAAGGCGAUGGCAAUGAUUACGGAAAAGAUUACAAGACCUCCGAAAAUGGUUACCAAGAUGGGAGUUUUCCACCUUGUGGUUCCAGCUGAUCGAGACAGUGAGUCACUUGCAGGGCUCACUAUAGUAGCCUCCAUUACAAGUCUUUUUUUUUUUUUUUUGCCUAGAUGAAAGAAACUAUCUUUCUUGGUUGAAAUAAUCGAAGGGUGAGGUUCUAUUUAUAUGGGAAACACAAGAAAGUUGGAUGCUUCUGUAAUGACUUUUUCUUUUGGUUAAAUUGAGUAGAUAUAUGUAAUAUUUAUGUGUACAUAUAUAUCUUGGUUACUGGAAUGACCCUUUUAACAAGAUAAAAAGUGACAUGCUUUUUUCCAUGUGAUUUAAAUCUUGAACUUCAUGUAUAUAAAAAUGUAGAUUCUGUGCAUAUAUAUAAAUAAUUAGGUAGGUUGAGGAUUGAUGAACUUUUAGCACGUGUGAAAAGAAAAAGCUUAGACAGGUAGAACUUAUUACCAAAGCUAGAUUAUGUCCACGGAGGAGAUUGGAAUAAUAUAUGUGGAGAAUAGAAGAGGGAGGGAAACAAGGAAAUUGCAGAACACAUGGAAAAGCAAGAGCGAUUCAAUUGCAGGCUCCACGCGUUGAUUUUGAUCGGGCCAGGGAGAAAAGCAGAGAUUUCAGAUUGAAAUGGACUAGGCGGUGGGCGAUACACUUGGUGGUACAUGAGAAUAUCGAUGAUCGCUUUCAAAGAUCUCAUCAUUAGCUGCCGUGAGAAUUUCAGAUUGAAAUUGAUUCGGGACCGACGGUACACUUGGUGUUGAAAGAGCUUGUUGACGAGCAUGCCUUGAAGGAUUUUGUCAGUAGCUGUUGUGACAGGUUGAGAUGUUUGCAGGACAGAUGUUCGUGUUAUGUCCUCAGAGAACAAAUCGUAUUGCUGAUGCCAGGGCAAGGAUGGGCUGGCUGAUGGCGCUGAUGCAGGAAUCUGGCUCCAAACAUCAGGUGACAUUAGGAGCAUUAUGGGCGCCGAGUGAAAUGAUUCCUCCAAGGAGUUAAGUCUGUUUCUUCUUUGUUCCUCUGUCCUUGAAUUCAAAAGAAAAAAAGUCAAAUACAGUGAAAGAAUCUGUACUCUGUAGGCAGCACCUAGAAAGUUGUCUUUUAGAAAAAUCUAAUUCUUUGAUGAGAAGCACAGCUAGGAGUUGAGUGCUUGUGGAGGCUGUAAGAGACCAGACAAGAAUAAAUAUCUCCAAAAUUUUAGUUGAAGAGAAAAGAAAACAAUAUAAAGUUGUCAUUAGAUAUAAGAUCCGGCACUCUUGAACGAUUUUAGUUUACUUUGUGUUUCUAAUUGUGAUUAUGUCUCACCUUAAACUUUUGAUUAUCCCCUAAUAUAUUUCAUAUAAUUGUUGGGACAAAGGUCAAGGUCCUAGAAAAGGAUCCAGUGACAGUCUAGUCUAGUCCAGUCUGCUAGACGUAAAGCUUUCAGAUUAUUAUUGACAGUCUCGUUCCAAGCCUUUUUAUAUUCUAUACCAGGAUGAAUAAAGACAAUGAAGAAGACUCCUUCAAAUCCUGUGUAAGAGCCAUCAAUUUUCUAUUUCCCUGAACAGAGUGACCAAAUGGGUCUUUUGGUGAUCCUCUAGUUUGAUCAACUUGGGAUCGGAUUCAUGCUCGGAGUUCAAAUAUUUUGUGGCCUUUUCAUGUUUGAUCAACUUGUCACAAGUUUUCCUUGCAGUUAGGUUUUUUUAGACAGAUAUAUCUUGGAGGUAGUAUUUCCCAUUAUUCAAUUAUGUGGGGAACUCAUUUGUAGGAUUUCAAUUAUGUGGGGAACUCAUGUUUUUUAUUCUAUUAUCAGAAAUUUGUCUAUUUACUGACUAUUGUAUCCAUUGACUUCUGAAUUAUUGAUCAUACCGGAUGGGUAGACUGAAAAGUUUACUAGAAACAGGGGCUACUGUCAGUGAAAUGUUUGUUUGUUUUCUUCUGGGUGUGUCUUCUUUCUUAGGACAUGCUUGAUUCAAUGGUUAAUCCCCUUUCCAAUUGAUUCUGACGUUGUGAGGAGGUACCAUUAAGUUUGAGUCUUACUAUUAUUCGUUUCUUAUAACUGCAAAGAGUAUUUCUAAGAAAGAAUAUGAUAGUCAAGCAGGAUUAGGUUAAGAAUCCAUUCUUACGAUAAGUUUGAUUAUUUCUAGUGUUUUUAUGAUCUUUUAUGGGUCUUUUUUCUAAUACUAGAGAUUGACUUAAAACCAGAAUUUCUUGGCAUUAGUAUGCUUCGAGGUAAAUCUUAAUAACUGACAUUUGACAACCUGUUCUCUAAUCAUGGUUGUCUGAUUGCUUACCAUAAAUGUCCAGCACAGAACUGCUAUGGUUAAAUUUAAAGUUCUCUCUGGUAUUAUGUGAAUGUAGAGGAAAGGAAAUUUUUUUAGAAGAUAUAUUUUCUUGAGAAUUCAGAAAUUCUGGGUUCUUUGUAGAUCAUACCUUUCCUCAAGUAUAGCUUAAAUCCAAAAUUUGUAACUGUCUUGUCUUAAAUAAGAUUGUGUAAGGAAGCUGCUUAAAAUGUACCAAAAGAAAAAGGGUAAAGUGGUAAAAUAGGCAUAAGGAAAGAGGGAAAAAUAUUUUAUUGCAGUUGCGAAUUGGUUCAGAUGUUAUUUCCUGUUAUUUUUCCGUUAUAACUAAAGAGAAUGCCUCCAGUUAGUAUUAAUGUAGAUAAUUAGAGGGAAGUGAAUAAGCCGAAAAUAAAAUUUCUCUCACCAUUUCCUUUUUUCUCUGUUUCCUUAUAUCUUGAGAAAUUGGUAUCAGAGCAGUUGGAAUCUGAUGAAACCCAUGCUUCUGUGGCAUCGAGGACCCCAUCAAAAGGGAACACAUUUAUUAUGGAACAACAAAAAGAUGCAACAAGUGGAAGACUCUGUGCAAGAAGUAUACCAACAAUUUGUGGAAUUCAUAACCAAGAUGCAUGAAUCACAGUGUCAAACCAAAUAACAAUUUGAUCAAAUUGUUGAAAUGUUGCAUGGCAGUUCAUGAUCCAUGGAGUCGAACAACCAGGCCAGUCACAAAUCAGAUGUUGUUACGACUGCCAAAGGAAUACUCCCCACUUUGGUCACGUGCGACACUGAGGAUAUCCCUUAUCCUGUGUACACCAGAAUCAAGGGGAACCAUUUAAUGAUAUUAACCAAGGUAGAGAUUCCUCUGUUUGAAGGGGUGAACUUAAGGGAUUGAUUCCAGCAGUAUGAUAAGUAUUUCCUGGUUCAUGGCAUCCCGAAUGAGAAGAAGGUAGAGAUUGCUUCUGUCUUCCUAGAAGAAGUAGCGCAAAUGUGGCAUCAGGGGUGGUUGCAAAGAAUGAGACUGGGAAUGGGAAGCAUUUGUCGAGGAGCUUUUUUGGAGGUUCAAAGGGGCCAAUAGGAAAGGUUUUAUUGAGGAAUUCAACAAGCUUGUGCAUAUCGGAGCUUUCCUGGAAUAUUAGGAGCAGUUUGAGCAUUUUAGGGCAUUGGUGACUGCAGAUAACCUGACUUCCUCAGAAAGGUUCUUCAUCUCAAACUUCAUCAGUGGAUUAAAGCCGGAAGUGCAGCCAAACGGCUACUAGAUAUGUAGUCUCUCAACCAAGCUUUUGAGCAAAAUCUCUUACUGGAGCAGUUAAUUAUUAAGAUGUAUCAGAAUGCUUACUUUGUGGGACAUAAUCCCUGUUAUUUGACGCUAAUGGAAACCAGGGAGCCCAUGGGACCUGGAAAUUGGAGCAUUUGCAGGACUUGGCCCUAAAACACCCACAAUAGGAGAAUGAAGUUAGAAGAGCAGCUGCCUACUGUUAUAAGUGCGGUGGUCAACAUUGUUGACCCGCCGUUGCAAAUCAAAAUUGUGAUGGCAGCAGAGGAGUUAGUUACCAGUUAGGGAGAGGAUGAACCAUAAUCGGAGGAACUGAUAUCUGGUGAGGAGGAUAACAUAGGUAUGAUUUCUAUUUAGGUUAGUGAAGGAAUAUUUGCAGGUAAACACUUCAAAAAUUAGGGCAUUGUUAGAAGGGCAUGAUGUACAUGUCCUUUUGGAUAGUGGUUGCUCACUAUCAUUUCUUCACGAGAAUGUCGUGAAAUUGAUAAAAAAUAAGGUGAUAGGGAAAAAGACACUGACAGUGAUGGUGGCCAAUGCAUAAAAAUUUCUAGAAAAAUUGAGUGCUCUAAUGUCUCAUAGAUGAUGCAGGGUGACAAAUUCUGCUAAAGCUUUAAAGUCAUCAUGUUGGGCGGUUACAAUAUGAUCUUUAGGGUUUGACUAGAUGAAGCAAUUAAACUCCAUAGUUUUCAAAUUUUUAUCUAUAAUUAAAUUCCAUUAAGGUAAUAUGCUAAUAUUAAUCGGGAGGGAGAAAAAAAGCUUAAUUUGACAAGUCUAACUGGCACCAUAACCCAGAAACUGUUGAAGCAGAAACAACACAUCAAAGAUGGAGCCAUCUUCUUAGUAGUGAUAAGUGAGACCAAGACACCAAAGCAACAGAGAAGCAGAAUGAAUCUUUGGAAACCCUGCUGGAAAAAUACAGGGACGUCUUUGAUGAAUCCUGAGACCUGCCUCCUCUUACGGCCUUUGAUCAUGCAAUCUCCCUGGCUCAAGGAGGAGUUUAAGUGAAUAUACGCCCCUACAGGCACUCUUACUAUCAGAAGAAUGAGAUUGGAGAGACAAAUUCAAAAGAUGCUAGAAGGUCCCUUAAUACAGUCGCUCUUACUAUCUUUUAAAGUGUACAAUGAAAUGUUUGUUUUCUUCUUGGUGUGUUUACUUUCUUAAGGCAUGCAUGAUUCAAUGGUUAAUCCUCUUUCCAAAGGAUUCUGAGGUUGUGAGGAGUAACUGUUAAGUUUGAGUCUUGCUACUAUUUGUUUCUUUUUAUUUUCUUUGAAAGCUUAUAAUUCGUUUUCUUAUAAUUGCAAAGAGCAUUUCUAAGAAAGAAGAUGAUAGUGAAUCUGGAUUAUGGUUGAUAAUCCAUUCUUAAGAUAAGUUUAUUUUAGUUAUUUCUAGCGUUCUCAUUCUGUCACGGUAAUGCUAGAGAUCAACUUAGUAUUAGAACUUCUUGGCAUUAGUAUGGUUCUCAAGGUAAAUUUUAAUAACUGACAUUUGACAACCUGUUCCCAAGUCAUUGUUGUUUGACUGCUUACUAUAAAUGUCCAGCAAAGGACAGCUAUGGUUAAAUUUAAAGUUCUCUCUGGUUAUUAUGUGAAUGUAGAGGAAAGAAAUUUUGUUUUAGAAGAUAGCCAUUCUCAGCAUUCAGAAAUUCUGGGAUCUUUGUAGGUAUACCUUUCCUUAAGUAAAACUUAACUCAAAUAUGUAAUUCUGUCUUAAACAAGGUUGGCUAAGGAAGCUGCUAAAAGUGUAACAGAGGAAAAAGGGUACAGUGGUAAAAUAGGCAUAAGCAGAAAGGGAAAAUAUUGUCUUGCAAUUGAGAAUUGAUUCAAGUGUUAUUUCCUGUUAUUUUUCCGUCAUAACUAAAGGGAGCGUCUCUCUUUAGUAUAUAAAUAGCUAAUUGGGGGGAGAUGAAUAAGCAGAAAAUCAAAUUUUUAAUUUCUAAUUCAAAUUUCUGUCACCAUGUAUCUCUUUUCUCUGUUUCCCGUCUAUCUUUCUCCCUGAUUACCUAGUCGACACUGUAAGUUCAAGAGCCAAUGAACAAGACUCUUGACAGGUUGCUUGUUUGUAGAUGCUAGAUAAACAAAAUAAUUAGUGAAUAUUAGAUAUCUUUUUAUGUUAAAAUACAAAUAAUAAAUUGGAUCAUUUUCUGUUAGUUAUAAAGUCUUGAGAUAUUUGACCAUUCAAUCAAUUACUUAACAUGGCAUUAAUGUUAGAACUGUUUCAGUCUGGUCUUGGCCCUGAUAGAGCAUACUAGAGAGUAAUUUUUAUCAGCUCGAGCUAUUAGAUAUUAUACAAUCAAUUAUUUAACAAUUAAUAAGAUGUUUACAUGCACAAUAGAUCUUCUUGCAUCGUCAGACGACCUGUCAAAAAAUUAAGCAUGCAAACUUCUUUAAAUCGUCAGGACUAUUGACUGGGCUGUUGACUGGUUAUCACAUUCUAAGUGAUGCACAGCCAUCAGGACUGUUGACUGGGCCUCCAGUUGAUGCUAUGAUUAAGAUUGAAGAGUUUGUACAUGCAUUGCUGGAUUUUACACAUAUUCUGCAUCUGCCUUGGUUUUUUGGGAAACAAGGUGCUUAGGCUUUUGGUUAUCCACGGUCAUUAAUUCUCAUCACUUUGUUUUUCCCACUUUUCCGUUUGGGAUUUAAAAAGCUUGAGAUAAAACUUCAAAAUCAUAGCUUUUUAUGAUGCAGGAUGUAAGUGUAAAGAUCUCCUUUCCCAUGUCCCCAUAGUCCCUCUCAGAUCCUAAACAAAAUUUAAUGAGUUCCAAGAAUAAGAUAGAUCAAAGGAGAAUUUGACAUUCCUCUUCUAGUUAUGGAAAGAUGUAAUUAUUUAUUCUCAACAUUUUUCUUCAAAAAAUGUCUCUUCCUAGCUCUUAAUAGCUUAGAGAAGUGAAUUUCUAGAUAAGUUGUAGGCAUACUCUUUUGAGAGCUUAAAUUUGUAGCAAGUUUUUUAAGAGCCUAUCAAAAGCUCCUCAAUUCAGUCCAAAUAGUUUAAAUUUUUAUUUAACUUACACAAAGUUUAACCAUUACCAUUUAUUAAUAUCUACUCUUUUCAAGUUCAAUUAUUACCAUUUAUAUAGUUGCUUGAUUACCAUUUAUGAUAAUCUACUCUUUAAAAUUUAUUUUUGUUUUUUAAACGACUUUUUAAGUUUAACUAUUACCAUUUAGAUAAUCAUUUAAUUACCAUUUAUCACUAAGCUACUCGUCAUUUAUUACCCCCGGGAAAGUAUAAGUUUCCUCUUAGUUGCAAGUUAUAGUAUGGAGAAGAAUUCUAAAUUUCUCAUACAUACAAUAUAGUCAUACGCACUCAAAUCAUGCAAUACUUUAUUUAGAUACUUAUGUAUCUUUUUCUGGUUUGAUUUUUGUAAAUAGCACUCUAAAGGAUAAAAUUUUGACUGUACAAAUUGAUACAAGGGAGUUUGCCUUCAAAAAACCGGAGAUAUAUGAUGAUGCCUUCAGCAUGAUCUUGUGGGUGAGGAUUAAUGAUGUCCUAGACCUUCAAACUAAUCAAUCCAUCUCUUGUUUCCUUAUAAAUUUGCCCUUCACUCGAGGUCGAAUUUGUGCAUAACAAGACUUUCUUGAUUGACAUCUCAUGUUCUUGUCCUUCAACUUCCUUGCUUUUAUUUUCUCUCUGAAUCUCUGGACCUUUGCUUUCCUGUUCAUCUCAAUAAACUGGGGCGGUAGUACUGAGAGGGAAGAGCUAGAGAAGAUCAGUUUAAUUCUUGCGUCUGGAGAUUUGGCAUUGAUGAUCUGUCGUGUAUUGUCGAUUGUUUUGUCUGGUGAUAUACUCGCAUAACAUAAAUCCACAGGGGCCUGAUCGUGAAAUGAGAUGUAAAUUGCUAUAGCUAGUGAUAAUCAGAGAAUACUUAGUAGAUAAGAGACUACAUAGACACUUAUUUUAUUAUUAUUUAAUUUAACAAUUAGGAUAUAUUUGGGCCAACUUUGCUUACUGAGAUUAAGCCUUACUCUGAUUGCCUUAAAGAUAGACUAUCUAUAUACUUAAUUUUUUUUAACAAAAACAGUAAAAAAUCAUUGCAGUCUCAUUCCAAGAAAUCGAACAUUAAUAAUAAUCAUUCAUCUCACUCAACCAUACUUUUGAUUCAAGUAUGAAGGAAAUUUGGUUUUAGGUCUUUGUAUAAUAUAGUAACUUAGUUAUAAUUUUAAGUCUAUAGGUAAGUUAUUGACAGUCAUUACAAAUGAUGCCAGUAGCAUGACUAGAAUUUAGACAGAGACUAAGCAGGGUAUUGUUUGGUCAGUAUGUUUGUGUAAAAGACAUCUUAUCAGUUCUAACUGAUGUUAGGCAUAUAACUUUUUCCUACGCCAACAUACAGACCCAGAGAAUGAAUUUUUUAAGAGAAAUAAAUUUGCGGAUGGUGAUUAUUGGUGUAUAGGAUCUUACAGUACCACUUGGGGGUGUGUUGGUGAAAGCAACCUCGGAAGCCCCAUAAAAUGGGUCCGGCUGCAGUUGUUCCUGUUGCUGUUCUGUGACCUGGAAAGAUUGAGCUGCUGCGACGCCAUCACUUUCAUUCCCAAAAAAAUGGAAAUUACUGGGAAUUUGGUGCUGAUGGCUGCAUGAACUAUUGUCAUUAUCAACAAAAUUAUUUGUAUAAUGACGACUAACCUCCUGAUCAUUACACACGAAGCUGCCACUGCACCAAGCCUGCAGGUUCUCAUUUUCAUUAUCAGGCUCAAGCAACAGCCAAGUUUCGAGUUUGUCUUCUUUGUUUGUUCUCUGCUUGGUAUAUUAUUACCACUGCUCAUGGUUUCCUUCUCUGCACUAAUUGUGUUAAAGGCAGUUCCUGAGCUAGAGACAGGAAAUAAUACUGGAUCCUGCUGGGUUCCUGCCAGUGGGUUGGAUGAGUACAAUAUAUCUGAUAACGCGUGACAGUUGGUGCAUAGCCAGGACCCAUUAACCUUGAACUUAAUGGCUGCCUGGGAAUAUUGACAUAGUUCACAGAGCAGGUGACCUCGGACACGGCUAUGAUCAUCACUAAGGUGGCAGUCUGUGUGAGAAUAGAGAGAGCAACCCAUUACCCUGCACACAUCACAGGUAUCUAACUCGAUUAGCAAAUUUUUACCUAUGCUGCAUCGUUAUUGGCUACACUGUUCUGUGCUUCUCCCCUCCUGGACCAAUUAAAAUGCUGCGGAGACAUCUUGGCAUUUUCCGGCCCUUCAGUGCACUGAAAAGCCCUCUGGUAAGUUGCCUUCCGGGUAUAUCUUCCAUGCAUGCAUCAACUUUUUGGUCCCACAUUGUCACUGCAAGUUUUAGUCUUUUUUCCUUUUUUCUUCCUGUCAUCCAGUUCUUUUACAUGUGAUGUUCUAUUUAUGCAGCAAAAUGUUGGAAGUUUGGUACUUAUUGAGCUUAUUUGCAGACAUAUUGCACCCAUUUAAGUAUUAUCUUAAAAACCGGAAUGCCAUGAGGGUAUGCUAAUUAAUGUUGAUGAUAAGUGGUCACAUGAAAAAUAAGUCAGAUAUUUUAGCAUGCGGAUGCAGAGGGGAAAUAGACACCUUUGAUUUUGAGAGGGCUGUAACUGAUAUUGACAUAUACUUUAUUAUAAUGCAACAAAUGAACUUUGAGAGAGUUGAAUUUGGAAUCUAUGUAUAAAAUUUUACACUUUUUGGGCACGAAGGCUUAUCAUUGGGACUGGAAGUAGCCACUUAGAGUUUAGAUUUGGCAUUAAAGUAGCUAAUCUGCAGCUCUUGUUGCUGGAGGAGGUAAUUACAAUUUUGUUGCUGCUGCAACCAAGGUUCAAGUUCGUCUUCUUCAUUUAACCUCUGCUCGGGCAAAAUACAGCUCAGAAUGGUUUUACUCUCUAGGGGGCUGAUCAUACUAAUAAUAAUACCCUGACUAGAGAUAGAAAAUAAUAUUGGACCCUGUCCAGUUUGUACUGGUGCAUCGGACAAGUGCAAUGUAUCAGAUAACUCGUGAUAAUUGAUUCAGAACUAUGACUCAUCAGCCCUGAAACUAAUGACUUCUCAACGCAUACCGACAUAAGUCACAGACCGGGCGCUGAUAGACAUGCUCAUGGGGGGCAAAGCCGGUUCCACUCGAGCUAUAUUGCUACAUUUAUGACCCAUGAUGGAGACUGCAGCCAAUAUGAGUCAUUACGCCGCAUAUAUAACAGGAAAAGUGUGAAGAAGAGAUGAGAGAAGAGGUUGGUUGACUAAACAAGGAAAAGAAAGAGAGAAUCCCAAAAGUAGGAAGGGAAUAUUUGUCGCCCGAGCGCGCUGGCACACACAUGCAAGUAUACUCCGUGCGGUCACAGACACCCACUCGCACACACACAGAGAGACACUGAACAAAAAAUUCCAAAUUUUUUUUUCUAUUCAUAUUUCAUCGUACACCAAGAUUUUAAUGUAGCUUGAUAUGAUUCUGUGUUACGUUGAAAAAAUAAUUCAAUAACUCCGUUAGGUUGGGAAGAUAAUCAUGAUUUAUUGGGAUGUAAUUGAUGGUCAA